rnacentral:rRNA from 1 species
UUUAAUUCGAAGCAACGCGCAGAACCUUACCAACCCUUGACAUCCCAGGACAUCCCCAGAGAUGGGGCUUCCACUUCGGUGGCCUGGAGACAGGUGCUGCAUGGCUGUCGUCAGCUCGUGUCGUGAGAUGUUCGGUUAAGUCCGGCAACGAGCGCAACCCACGUCCCCAGUUGCCAGCAUUCAGUUGGGCACUCUGUGGAAACUGCCGAUGAUAAGUCGGAGGAAGGUGUGGAUGACGUCAAGUCCUCAUGGCCCUUACGGGUUGGGCUACACACGUGCUACAAUGGUGGUGACAGUGGGUUAAUCCCCAAAAGCCAUCUCAGUUCGGAUUGGGGUCUGCAACUCGACCCCAUGAAGUUGGAAUCGCUAGUAAUCGCGGAACAGCAUGCCG